CAAGAAAAGAACCAAUCUCACACGAAUCCAUCCUCCUCUGCAUUUCUUCGUCUUCCUGUCCCAAUUUCAAUCCUUUCUACCCCAAUUUCGGACCCUAAUAAUCCAAACUCUUGCGUGAAUUUCAUUUCAUUAGGAAGCCAUCGUUUGGAAUCCCUUCAACAAAAUUUUACGCGGCGUUGGAAAUAAUUAGGGUUUGCUGUAGGUAUCAAUGAAAUGAUUGUGAACUGCAGCAGCGAGCCAAAUAACGCUCUAGACUCGAGCUCGAGAUCGGUGAGUGAAACGGUGAAUGGGUCGCAUAACUUCACCAUCCGUGGCUACUCUCUGGCGAAGGGGAUGGGCCCUGGAAAGUACAUUUCUUCAGACACUUUCAGCAUCGGAGGGUAUGAGUGGGCGAUUUACUUUUAUCCGGAUGGGAAGAACCCCGAGGAUUCUUCUCUAUAUGUCUCGGUGUUCAUCGCUUUGGCGAGCGAGGGUACCGAUGUGAGGGCGUUAUUUGAGCUGACGCUUUUGGAUCAAAGUGGAAAAGGGAAACACAAGAUUCAUAGUCAUUUCGAUCGGGCGCUCGAGAGUGGACCUUACACCCUCAAAUACAGGGGAAGCAUGUGGGGAUAUAAACGAUUUUUCAGAAGGUCAUCUUUAGAAUCAUCUGAUUUUUUGAAAGAUGAUAGUCUUGCCAUGCAUUGCACUGUUGGAGUUGUCCGAACCCGAGUUGAGGGUCCGAAGUCAUAUAUUCUCCCAACACCCCCAUCUGAUAUUGGCCAAAGCCUGAAGUACUUGCUGGAUGCUGAAAUUGGAUGUGAUAUAACAUUCCAGGUUGGGGAAGAAUUAUUCAAGGCUCAUAAGUUGAUACUUGCAGCUCGAUCUCCGGUUUUCAGUGCCCAAUUUUUUGAACUUGUUGGAAACCCCAACAGUGAUAAAGUGGAACUUGAGGAUGUUGAACCUUUUAUUUUCAAGGCAUUGCUGCAAUUUAUUUAUUCUGAUGAACUUCCCGACCGCCAUGAAUCAAUUGGCUCUGAUUCUGCAAUCAUGAUGCAGCAAUUAUUAGCUGCCGCUGAUCGCUUUGGUUUAGAACGGUUGAAACAAUUGUGUGAAGCAAAACUAUGUGAAGAGGUCAGCGCUGAAACAGUAGCAACAACUCUUUCCCUUGCAGAGCAACAUCACUCUCCACAACUAAAGGCCAUAUGCCUAAAAUUUGCAGCCACAAACUUGGGAGGAGCAACAUUUAUGAUUGUGGGCAAAUGUGGUUGAGGAUAAAUUUAUGUGCUCUAUGGGCAAGCUAGCGGGUCUGUCUGUAUCAGAAUGAUAUUUUGGAGGUCCAGCAAUCCACACAUGUGACUUUAAUUGCAAAUGGGGCAUUGGAGAAAGUUACAUAUAGAGAAGCCUCCAGACUAGGGCUGGAGAGCAUCUUUAAAUUUUGCCUAAUAAGUUUAGUUAGUGCUACAUCUGAGAUUGUGGCAAAGCAAUUGAGGAGUGAUUGAUGAGUGCUAUGGAUAAGCUAGUGUGAUCUGUUUUCAGCAUAAUUUGGUGGAGGUCUGGCAGGCUGCAGAUGUGACUAAUUGCAAAUGAAGUGAUGAGGACAGAUGGUUACAGUUGCGUAGUUACACAGAGAGAAGGCCUAGGGCUAGGGGUGUAUUAAAAAUUUGGUAUCUUCAGUUUUUGUUUCUGGUUUUACUUUGCACCCUGUAGAUAUACUUUUAAUGAUUUUAUGGUUGAAAGGAAACCAACUACUGAGGCACCUCCACUUAGUACCUAAAUCACUGAUACAUGCAUAAUGGAUCUGAUUGCUUUGAAUGGAAUCACUGACAACAUGCCUAAUGGAGUCAAUUCCUUUAAAUGGAGGUAGAGUUUUGGGUUUUUUUUUGAAGUAUCAAGAAGGCAGCAUAUCUCACCUCAGAUACCAGGAAGACGACACUAGGGGGGGGCAGUGUUGGUUGGAGGAUGAUGCACUAUUGACAAAAAUGUUAUGCAGUUGGUUAACUGCUGUGAAUAUGUUAAGAAGCCUCUGGAUUAUCUGUACUUGUUCUCUGGGUGGGCGAAUCUCUUUCAUAUUACAAUGAAUGUUAUGGGUUCUCUGAGGAGCUUCAUUCUCCUUUUCCUAUUGUUAGUUCUGAUGUGAGCUGUGAAUUCAGAGUCCGUUUAGUGUCUGGGAAUUAUAAGAGAUGGUUAGUGAUUCAAGAAUGCUUGUUUUAUCACCUCCCUGCAUUGGAGUUGGGCUCCACAUUGAAAGAUCUAGGGGGGUUGUAGAGGACUUGAGUGGCAGUUGGUUUACCUUGAAUAGGAAAAACAUAUGGUCUCUGUAGUCCCAAGUUCUAGAGAACGCUGAAACAGACUGUGAUGCUGUCAGAAGGUUUCAGGGACUUGGAACAGAAGUACCCCCUGCUGUUGUCGGAGCUGCUGGAAACAGUUGCAUCGGUAGAUGAUAAAUUGAACGUUUCAUCUGGUAAGAAAAGGAGUGGCAGCAGUAUCUUCGGG